GGAACUCCACGUUUUACAUGUUAGAAAUGUUAAUAGUCUUAAAAGAACCUGUAAAAGCCACUAUGUCCAUAAUUAAUAUGGAACUAAAACAUCACUUGAUAAUAGGGGAACGAGAUAUUAUUAAGCAAUUGGUUCAUAUCCUUAAACCUUUCCAAAACGUGACCAAAAAUAUUUCAGGAGAGGAAUACUUAAUAGCUUCUCUGCAGAAUAAAUGCAGAAAUUGCCAAACAAAAUGUUAUUUCUUUGGUAGCUGAAAAGAUUUCAGGCGAGUUAGCAAGCCGAGCUGCUAGAAAAAGAAGUUGUAUUUAAGUCAAAUGAAGCCAGAAAUCAAAAUAUGGACGAUGACGAUUUUUGGGAGGAUUUUGAAUAGAUAAAUGUAAUAAUUACAUUGUAAUAUAAUACAAAUUGAAUUCAAACAUUAAAUUGGAAAAACAUAUCAAUGGAUCCAUCGAUAAUACAUAAAUACAUCGGAUUUUCCGUGACAAUAGCUCUCAGUCUUCUCCGGAAUCUUGGAACUGGCAGGAUCCUUGUAACCUCCGAAAUGUGAUUGUAGAUCUUGAUACUCUGGUCAUCUGAAUCUUAGUAAGGUGCGUUUUUGGUGGCUCCAGAUAGCAGUUCACCUUCCCGCGCGUAUCUCGAGUAUGUGAUAUUUCAUAUUUUUGAAACAUUCAAGUAAUUCUUCCUAACCAAUACGGCACAUUCCAGAAUAUAAAUUCCAUACAAGACCAAAGAUUGCUCUUACACACCUCUUCUGUAGUAUGAAGAUUCUAUUUAUACUAUAUCUAUACUAACACCACGGCCCCAAAAGACAGAUCUUAGCAAGGAAUGAAUAUAGGCAUAAUAGGCAUUUAAUGCUGCUUCAAUGCCAGCUGAUCUGGAAAUAAUCCGAAUAGCAUAUGAGAAAUGACUAAUCUUGCCAGCAAGGAAAUCAAUAUGAUUGGUCCAAGGCAGUCCAGGAUCCAUUUCCCAGAAACGAAAUCUCUUGAACAUUGGCAACCUCAGUAUCCCGAUACCUCGCCUUGAUCUGGUCAGAGCAUAAGUGAUAGUUAACAAUUUUCGUUUUUUUUGCACUUAAUUUUAUGUUGUGCGCUUCAAAGCAAGCAGCAAAUUUAUUCAGAUCCAUAGUAAGUGAUUUCUGGAUUUCAUAAUCAGUGCUACACCUCGCCAUGGUCGUUAUUAGAAGUACAGCAAUUUUUAGAUUGCGAACGAGUGUCUAGCAACAAAGACGCAUUGAAAUGAUGGAAAGAAAAUAAAUAUUUGUUUCUGCACCUAGCAUGUGUUGCGCAGGAGAGCCUUAGUGCAUGUGUUACGUCUGACAGAUAUUCGAAAAAAUAUAAUUUUAACAUAUAUUAGCAAAGAAUAACAGAAUAAUGAGUUUUCCACUUGUUUCGAACUAUUGCAUUAUAUCAGUAAUCAAUAACAUCAAUCAUCAGUAACUUAAAAACAAAAGACAGUUUUGCUGUCGAUUAUAAAAAAAAGAUCAUAGUCACAGAAAUCGCAAUCACAGGUUACAGUUACUGCGAUUCCAAAAUCACAGUCGCAGUUUUCAUUGCGAUUUCAAAAUCGCAGUUUUGCUCAUUUCUAGUUGGUAAUACAAGUUAGAGACUAAAAAGAGGCUGGAAAGAGAUGAUAGAAACUGGGCAGAAAAAAAAAUUCUGGAAAUAUGCUGGUAAUACUAGAUAACGAUAUCAAAAUCUCGGAAUAAUUGUCAUAUUACCAAGUAAUCAAAAGACAUGAUCAGGAUUAAAUAAUGAAUGGUUGAAGUUUCAAUUUUAUUAUUACAUAAAAUAUUUCCUACCCACACAAUUAUUUUUAUUGUAACUCGAUAAAACUGACAGAAAGGAAUUAUAAAAAGUACGAAAUGUUGCUUAUCGUUUCGGAUUCCAGAAACGCGUAAAUUGUUACCGCAAGAAAAAAGAAAUAAAAAUUCUCGAACGAUAUGGUCAUGAUAUUAGGAAGAACGUAGAAAUUAUUAAAAUAUGUUCGAAGCGAGAAUUCCGCAAGUUUUUUUUAAUGAGCUGCGCGCGAUUCAUUUACCUUUUCGAGAAAUCAAAUUGAAUUUAAAGAAUUGUGUAUAAAGGAUUUUUUUAUAAACACCUUGAUUUUAUAUUACGCACGUGUUGUUACUUUUCCUUUUCUUACCGUAAAAAUUUUACGUAGGAUUGAAAAUGUUUUAUGUAAACUGAUAAAAUUUAAAUUCCAACCAUUCAUCAUUUCGCGUUGAUGACGUCUUUUGAGAGUACGCUCGCAGUCAUUUUAUAAUAAUGUUACGAAUACUAUUCCGUAAAGUGGAAUUCGAAUGACCUUUAGAUUUUAUGUAAUUAUUUAUCCAGGCAUUCGGAAGGGACGUAAAGGUUUGUUGGACUGGAAUGGAAUGCAAAUGACAAGUUAUUAGUUUGAAUGGAAUUGGAAAAAAGAGGGAAAUGCUUAUUCAUUGUUCUGUGAAAGAGUUUAAAGAAAUUAUAAAAAAAUUUUAAUGUUUAAGAUAAGUUUCUUUUGUCGGCAAUUUUAUAGAUUUUUGAAAUAUAUCGCAAAAAUGUAAAUUAAAUAUAAUAAGAAUUAAUUAGUAUGGGUUACAUUGAAUGUUCUCUGAAUUUUAUAUAGCACUGAUAAAUUGCCAAAAUUUGCAGAACUACAAAAUUGAAUUCAAAAAGGACUAUAAUUUCAAAUUAUCCUCAUGAAUGAGGUUGUAGAUUGUUACUUCUUCAGUAUCCAGAUCAACAAUAAAGUUAUACAGUGUA